UACGGGGGGGGGCAAGCGUUUGUUCGGAAUUACUGGGGCGUAAAGGGCUCGUAGGUGGCCAACUAAGUCGGACGUGAAAUCCCCUCGGCUUAACCGGGGAACUGCGUCUGAUACUGGAUGGCUUGAGUUCGGGAGAGGGAUGCGGAAUUCCAGGUGUAGCGGUGAAAUGCGUAGAUAUCUGGAGGAACACCGGUGGCGAAGGCGGUCUGCUGGGCAGUGGGAGCUUCGGCUCGUCGUUUAGCCGGACACUUGAGGCGCGACAGCGUGGGGAGCAAA
rnacentral:rRNA from 1 species